UCUCUCUCAUCGAUGUUUCUAACUCUCUAUCCCCUCUCCCUUCCUCUCUAUAAAGAAUCAAUAAAAUAUAUUUUAAAAAAAAGUAUGAGGCCUUUCCUGAUAAAGCUCAUAAAAUUUUCCCCCCUUUGACAUAAUUUUAUAAAAGUAAUGCAUUGUCACUAUACAAAAUUUAUAAAAUAAUGAAUAAAAGUUUACAAUUCCAUUACUCAAAUGGAAUUAUUUUACAUUUUAUCUAUCUUAGUAUUUUUAAAUAUGUAUAUAUUUUUAAAUAGUAAAUAUAGGAUCAUAUUAUAUAUUACUGUUUCAUAAUCUUUUGCAUUUAGCAACGUAUUAUAACCUUUGCUAAUUAUAAAAUUAGUCUAUGUCAGAAAACUUGUGAAAAUAAAAAUUACCCGUAAUCACACUGCCCAUUAAUAUUUUGGUUUAUUGACAACCUUGUUUUCUUCACAUGCCCUAUUCUGAUGGUUACUUCACUAAACCAUUGUUUCUUGUUGGAAAUUUAGGUUUCCUGCUUUUCACUAUUGUAUUAAUAAUGCUUUAGUGAAUAUCUUUAUACAAAAAUUAAUGUUUCUUAUUACUUUAGUAUAAGUUUAUGUAAGAAUCACUGAAGCAGCCCUGGCCAGUGUGGCUCAGUUGGUUGGGCUUUUCCUGGCACUGGAGGGUUGCCUGUCCAAUUCCUGGUCAGGGCACAUGCCCAGGUUUUGGGCUUAAUCCCUGGUAGGGCAUGAAGGAGGCAGCCAAUCAAUGUCUCGCUCUCACAUCAAUGUUUCUCUCUCCCUUUCCCUGUCUCUAAAAACCAUUAAAUGUUAAAAAGAAAAGAAAAGUAAAAAAGAAUUACUGAAGCAGAGGAUAUAAUUCUUAAAGGUUCUUUUUAAAAAAUACAUAUUUUUAUUGAUUUCAGAGAAGAAAGGAAAGGGAAAGAGAGAAACAUCAAUGAUGAGAGAGUCAUGGAUCAGCUGCCUCCUGCACACCCCCUCCUGGGAAUGGAGCCCUCGACCCGGGCUUGUGCCCUGACCAGAAAUUGAACUGAAUCGAACAGUGACCUUCUGGGUUCAUAGGUUGAGGUUCAACCACUGUGCCAAGCUGGCCAGGCUUUUAAAGGUUCUCUAUAUACUUGGCUAAUUUGCUCACUAAAAAGGUUGUACUAGUUUACAUUUUUAUAAGUGCUUGUGUUUACCGCAUGUUUGAUAGCAAACUAAUUUUUAGAAACCCUUUUAAUAUAUAGGCAAGAAUAUUUUCAUUGUUUUAAUUUUAUUGUGAUAUUGGCAAGGUCAGACAUUUUCUAUAUAUUUACACAUAUUUAUGUUGUAUAUAUUCAUAUAUUGUUUUAUAAAAUUUAAAUUAUGUCUGUGUUCAUUUUUCUAUCCAGGUGUUCUUUUUAUUGAAUUGCUAAGGCACAUCUACCAAUAUUUUCCUCCAUUUUGUCAUUAACCUUUUCCUUUUAUUUAUGGUGAUUUUGUUGGUUUUUACAGUUCAGGAGCUUUUAGAGGGUUUAUGUAAUCAAAUCUGUCAGGCUGUUCCUUUAUAUUUCCUUUGUGGGUAGACACCUCCUUCACCCUAGGAGCAACAAAAAUGUCUGCCUAUAUUUUAUAUGGCUCUAUUUGGCAUUUUUUACAUUUAACACUUGAAUUGAUGUUGGUUUAUGGUUUGAGAUUCAAGGACCUGUUUAACAAAUGUUCAGAGUUAUCACAGAGUUACACGUUAGAGCCCCACCACUGCCAUCUGCGAUGUCUCUGGUGGGUAUGGGGACGUGAGCAGACUGUGAGGCUGGUGGAUGUACUCUCCAAUCUCCCAGCCUGAAGGGCUGGGAGAGGCACAGGCUGACAUGUGGCUCCUAGAGUGUCCCUAUAUAGACUCGCCCAAUGGGGCCUGGGGCCUUGAUAAGAAUUCUGGUUGCAGGCAUGGAGCUGAACCCUGGAUCCAGGCAGUCUGUUCAGUGACAGGCCACUCACUACUCUGGGCUUUGCAUAGUCCUCUGAAAGGGCAUCCGUUAGAGUGCAGGUAGCUGAUCUCUUGGGUUUUAAAGACUUGAUCUGCAGCCUUGCUUUUAGGUAUGAGCUUGGCUUGCUGGGACAGUAGAACUUAGUCUUUUCUGGGGGGCACCGAUUGCAUUCCAGCCCUGAACCCUGGGAGGGGCCUUCCCUAUCAUCAACACCCCCCACCCCAACUGAUCCAGCUGGCUCUUGACUCCUUUUGUAAGACUUUACCUUUCUCUACUGACUUUGUUCAGUCUCACUCCCAAGGUCUGAAUUAGUUUACUCUACGGCCACAGCUUCCUUCCCCGCACCCCUCCAGAGGACUAACUGAAGCCCUCAUCCUUUCCCUUGUGCCUUUUCCCACUUUAUCAGCUUCCUCCUUCCUAAGUCAUCCACAUCCUAAGUCUCUAGCUGCACAGUGGCUAGCCUCUUUGGUUUCUCAGAAAAGUUCAUAGUGCCUGGUUCCUCCCUCUUUGCUUUUGAACUGCAUAUCUUUCCUUAUUACUCAGUGUCCACACCCAGGGCGGUUGCCUGGAUAAAAAUCUGCCCCUUCCCCCAGUCACCUUUUUAGGCCAGCUCCCCCUGAAGUAUCCCUGUCUACCCGGGUCCAGUUAGGAACUCUUAAUUCCUCAGAGUGGCCUGAGGCAGUGCAGUGUCCUCUGAGAUCCUCUGCUUUGCCUUCUCACUCAUUUGCUAAGCUUGUUUAUUGAGCACCACUGAGCAGAGUUAAUGCUAUUCCUGUCUUUAGCCUGGAAGGAAGAGGUUAUCUCCCUAUCUUCAGGACUCUGGACUCACUACCCUCGCUGGCCUGUUUCACAUAGUCCGAGGAGAACCAGGCCACCUCUCUCCCAGCUGACACUGAGCAGCUUUGAGACAUCUCUUGGGAGUUUGGACUCAGUGAUCUCAACUCUUCCAGUUAUGACAACGUGAGAGGCAAUGAAGAGGGGAAAGUACAUGGAUGGCAAGGUGGAACUUGAUGGUUCCUGUUUCAUAGGUUCAGGAAAGGUCCUUUGACAACUCACCAGGAGUGGAGGAUGGUAGGUAAAGACUUAGAUGGGAGAGCCCACUUCAGUGAUGAUUGAAUGAGUAUGUACUCCCUUCAGAUUCACCUCUAUUAAAAUAAUUCAAAACCCUGGUCAUCAUUCGUUGUAGGCUUAUCAGGAAUCAGGUUCAGCUGGCUAACCCUACUUUAAAUUCACUUUUUUCUUAUUCCUUCUUAUAAAAAAUAUUGUUAUUGGGGACCCUAACCUUCUGAAAUGAGUAUCUCAGUACUCUGAGUCUUUAUGUAAUCAUAUGAUGCUGUGCUACUUCCAGCGCGUGGUAAAGAGCAAAGCUAACCUUUUGCGGGUAUUAUAUGGAGUUCUGCUCUGUGACCUUUACCCCACUCUGGCUUACCAGAGGAUCAGCUGGCCUUGGCUACAAGGAUACCCAGCCCAGUGCUGGCCCAUGGUAGGCACACAAUAAAUAUUUGUUAAAUGAA